AAUGUUCUGUGUGUGGAAGAAACUUGUCUUUUACUUAGAAAUGCAAGGUUGGAGAGUUUGGAACUACAAUGGAUUAAGUCUUAUAUGCAUGUCGAGGGGUUAUGCAAACUCAUCAGCCAGAACUAUCGAUCCCUUAAGUCAAUUAAAUUCAUGCAUUGCAAGUUUACAGUUUCUUCUCUUGAUGCAAUUUGUGACUUGCUAUGCAUGCACAAUCCUCAAGCACUUGGGAUGCAACAUUUCUCAAUCAAGACAUCAAACUUCCUAGAGAACAACUUUCAAUCCUCGCCAGCUGGACUGAUAUCUUUGCUAUCAUCAGGGAGGUCCUUGUCUUCACUAUGCUUAUCAGACAACCAUCUUCCUCGCCAUUUUGCGAGGAAAGUAUUUGAUACCCUCGUUGAUGCUUCAUCUGGUAUUACCGUUCUGGACCUUUCAGAAAACAAUAUCGCGGGAUGGCUUUCUCAUUUUAAAUAUAAG
rnacentral:misc_RNA from 1 species